rnacentral:rRNA from 1 species
CAGUAGCCGCGGUAAUACGGAGGGUGCAAGCGUUAAUCGGAAUUACUGGGCGUAAAGCGCACGCAGGCGGUCUGACAAGUCAGAUGUGAAAUCCCCGGGCUUAACCUGGGAACUGCAUUUGAAACUGUCAGGCUGGAGUCUUGUAGAGGGGGGUGGAAUUCCAGGUGUAGCGGUGAAAUGCGUAGAGAUCUGGAGGAAUACCGGUGGCGAAGGCGGCCCCCUGGACAAAGACUGACGCUCAGGUGCGAAAGCGUGGGGAGCAAACAGGAUUAGAUACCCGUGUAGUCCCUGUCUCUUAUAA